rnacentral:rRNA from 1 species
AGCGAACGCUGGCGGCAGGCCUAAUACAUGCAAGUCGAGCGCACCUUCGGGUGAGCGGCGGACGGGUGAGUAACGCGUGGGAAUGUGCCCUUUGGUACGGAACAACUGAGGGAAACUUCAGCUAAUACCGUAUGUGCCCUUCGGGGGAAAGAUUUAUCGCCAUAGGAGCAGCCCGCGUUGGAUUAGGUAGUUGGUGAGGUAAAGGCUCACCAAGCCUACGAUCCAUAGCUGGUCGAGAGGAUGAUCAGCCACACUGGGACUGAGACACGGCCCAGACUCCUACGGGAGGCAGCAGUAGGGAAUCUUGCGCAAUGGGCGAAAGCCUGACGCAGCCAUGCCGCGUGAAUGAUGAAGGUCUUAGGAUUGUAAAAUUCUUUCACCGGGGAAGAUAA